rnacentral:rRNA from 1 species
GACAGAGGGUGCAAACGUUGUUCGGAAUUACUGGGCGUAAAGCGUGUGUAGGCGGCUAUGUAAGUCGGAUGUGAAAGCCCCGGGCUCAACCCGGGAAGUGCACUCGAUACUGCGUAGCUUGAGUACUGGAGAGGUUGGUGGAAUUCUCGGUGUAGAGGUGAAAUUCGUAGAUAUUGGGAAGAACACCGGUGGCGAAGGCGGCUCACUGGCUCGUUUCUGACGCUCAGGCGCGACAGCGUGGGGAUCAAACAGG